CAGCCGCCGCGGGAAUACGUAGGUGGCAAGCGUUGUCCGGAAUUAUUGGGCGUAAAGGGAGUGUAGGCGGUCUUUUAAGUCUGAUGUGAAAGCCCACGGCUCAACCGUGGAGGGUCAUUGGAAACUGGGAGACUUGAGUGCAGAAGAGGAGAGCGGAAUUCCAUGUGUAGCGGUGAAAUGCGUAGAUAUAUGGAGGAACACCAGUGGCGAAGGCGGCUCUCUGGUCUGUAACUGACGCUGAGGCUCGAAAGCGUGGGGAGCAAACAGGAUUAGAUACCCCCGUAGUCCCUGUCUCUUAUAC
rnacentral:rRNA from 1 species